AUGAGUCACCUAUUUUGGAACUGCCAGGGAGCGGGGAACCGCUGGACAGUUCGUGAAGUUGGGGCUUUUGUGAAAGCCCAUUCCCCAAAGUUGGUCUUUCUUGCUGAAACAAGACAGACCAGUACAAAAAUUGAAAGAUUGAAGUGGAAAUUAGGACUGAAAGGUUUCUGUGGCAUGGAUUGUGAAGGCCGUGGCGGGGGACUAGCUUUGUUUUGGGAUGAGUCCCUCCAGGUGAUAGUACUGGAAUCCAGUAAAAGAUUUAUUGAUGUAAGUAUUAUCGAUCAAGGUUCUGGAAAAGCAUGGAGAUCUACUUUCGUCUAUGGUGAACCACGUGUUGAACAUCGCCAUCGCAUGUGGGAACACUUGAUUAGAUUAAAAGGGACCUCAGCUCUACCCUGGGUAGUCUGCGGAGAUUUUAAUGAGGCCCUUUGGCAACAUGAGCACUUCUCACGUACUAGUAGAGGUGAGAACCGGAUGGAAGCAUUCAGAGAUACACUUUUGUUAUGUGAACUUGGGGACUUGGGGUUCUCAGGUGUGCCAUAUACAUAUGAUAAUGGAUAG
rnacentral:rRNA from 1 species